rnacentral:lncRNA from 1 species
AGGUACUAACAAGGUGUUUAAAGUAAACGGACAGCGACUGAAGCUGUUCCAUGAAAGCUCGGUGUCUGAAGAAGAGGGACAUGUUGAAGAGCUCUCCUUGGAGAAGCCGUUCUACCCAGCAGCUACACCGUAGCCCCUCGGGUGUGUUCCUUCCUUUACUCUCACUUUGUGUUAUUAUUACAUUGCGGACAAUGUCUGGUUUAAGUGUGGGGGAGGGACAUUUUACAUUUUUGUGUUAAAAAAAAUAAAAAAAUAAUAAUAAUAAUAAUAAUAAUAAAAUAAAUUAUCAUGAGUAGUCACAUGUUCUAAGGCUAGGGCAGAUAGCUGUAGGGUCAGUGAAAUUUUUGGAGUUUUUUGUUUUGAUACUUGACAUGAUAGCCUUUGCAACUUAAUGCACAACUGCUUGAACACUGUCAAACUUAGUAAUGUCUAGAUAAAUCUCUGAAAUAUUUAUUCUUUAGACUAAGUUCUCUAAUUUGAAUAUAAUGGAGGUAUGAUUAGAACUAAGUGUGGGGGAAAGGCUAGAGUAACAGAUAGACCGAUCAUUGCUAUUAAUUGAGAAAAAGGGAAACUGUUUAAGAGCAAAAACUAAUGAAUAUAAUAAGUUCCU